CAGCAGCCGCGGGAAUACGAAGGGUGCAAGCGUUAAUCGGAAUUACUGGGCGUAAAGCGUGCGUAGGCGGUUUGUUAAGUCUGUUGUGAAAUCCCAGGGCUCAACCUGGGAAUGGCAAUGGAUACUGGCAAGCUAGAGUGUGUCAGAGGAUGGUGGAAUUCCCGGUGUAGCGGUGAAAUGCGUAGAGAUCGGGAGGAACAUCAGUGGCGAAGGCGGCCAACUGGGACAACACUGACGCUGAGGCACGAAAGCGUGGGGAGCAAACAGGAUUAGAUACCCCUGUAGUCCCUGUCUCUUAUAC
rnacentral:rRNA from 1 species